CAGCCUCACUAUAUGUUUUGGUAAUUCGUGUGUACUUGUCUUGGCUCUGGGGAUUGUUUAUCUGUUAAGUUCAGUUUAAGGUGAGUAAUAAAAUGUUAACGAAGGCCUAGGCGAUAAACAGCAUUUAUAUAAAAAGGCGAUAUGACUUCAUCAAUAACUGUGCUCACACCGCCACCGUCGAGAGCGUCAAAGUGGCCGGAAGUCAUUCAUUUUCAAUGUGAGCCGGCGUCGGGCAGCGACGAGUAGCGACUUGAUUGAAGCAGAGUUCACUCGCUUAACAUCUAAGGACCUCAUGAAGUCUUUUCUCUCAGGGUUGGAUCAGUAUGUACCCAGGUUCCUUCAGAUGUUUAGAGCCAAGUUGAGCAGCAUUUUCAGAACUGAAAAGCCUUCUAUGCAAGAUUGACCGUGAUACCCAAAAUGUGUCCAAAUAUCAGCUUUUAAGGCUUUGCACAGGCUCCUACUCUUCUUCUGCCUAUAAUUCCAUGUCAAUGAAAAGGGCCGUUGUUCUUCAAGGCCUUCCACAUUACCUCGGCGAGGAUCCAUCAGAUUUCUUCAAGUCAGCUGAGGAAACUGACAUUGAAGACGGUGUGAUGGUGGGAAUGGAUGUGGGCAUUCUCAUAAUGCCUGAUGAAGAUGAUGCCUUUGACUACUACGUGGUAGUGGAGGAACAAGUUGUCCUGAGUGAUGCCAAAGACCUCCCUCAUGCUGUGGCUCAACUAGUCGUACUGAUUUUUGCGCUUAACAUUGAUUAUCCCAAAAAACUACGCUACACAUUUGAGGUAAUUCAGAAGAUUUUAAUUGACCUUGGAGGUGAUCACUGUUUCGUGACGGUGCAUGGACUGAAAAAUAGAAUCUUUCGCAAAACUGUUUAGCAUUUUAACUGAAAGGUAUACGUUCUGUGCCUUUUUGUUUUUGGUCAUGAUUUAUUGGUGAAUUUCUGGUUGUUUUAAAACAAAGAAUGUUAAAUGAUUUUUUUCUUAAUGUGGUUCUUUAUGCAGUGACAAUUUAUGUAACUUAAAGGGUUAGUUCACCCAAAUAAAAAAUUUAUGUAAUUAAUAACUUACCCUCAUGUCGUUCCAAACCCGUGAGACCUCAGUUUAUCUUCGGGACACAG